UCAGGCCCCUCUACCUGUUGCUCUGCAUUUCUGGAGCGAGCUCCUGUUUGCACGGUCCGCACACCUCACACCUACACUGCUCAUGCUCCUGCACCAGCGGGAGGAGGUGAAAGAGGAAAGGCACAGCCAGGCGCCACGCACAGCCUGCUCAUUCGGACUCCGUUGGCUGGAACUUGAUCACGUGGUCACAACCUGCUGCAAAGAAACAAAAGAUAAGCAGACAAUCCUAGAAGCUUUUGGAGACUGAAAAAGUCACACCAUGAGGAUCGAGAAUCAGAAUGGCAUCGGACUGCUUAACAUCAACCUAGAACACCACAUGCCAAUAGAGAACUGCCUUCAGAACUCUGAGGGGAGAUGAUUUCCAACUGAGAUUUAUACCUCCAGCCAAACUGUCAAUCAAUUAUCCAAAAACUGAACUCCCAUAUGCAGCCUCCAAGGAAGCUACUGGCGUGUAUAUUACAACAAAAUGAAGGGAGUAAAGCAAGAAAGAAGAUGACUUAGUAUCUAAGAAACAAGGCACCGACACAGGACAGAGGGAAAGGGAAUUCCCAGUGUAACGUUGAAGAGAAAUUUCACAACUUCUACUACAAUGGCCAGGAGAGCAACUGAUCCAGGUAGAAGCAGGAGGGCUCAAAGAAAAAAAACAGAACUGAUAGGUUGCCAGAUGUGUUUGACUAUAUUACGAGAAAUUUUAGAGUUUUAUUGUCACGGUUUGUGGGAAGAAUUAGUAAUCUUACAUCAAAAACUAAUUAAAUUUAAAAACUGAGGUACUUACUAACUCCAGGGAAAACAAAAAGCUGUACAAGACUGCAACUGUAACCAUAAUAUAGUCCCUUGUUUAGCUGUGAAUAAUCUAUAUGUAGAUAUGAUACGGUAACAACUGAGUGUUGAUUUAGCAACUGUGAUAGGACUAUCUUGGAAGAAAAAGUGUGUGUUUGUGGAUGGUGGCUGGUGGAGAACCAGCAAUCUUCCACAGGAGGAAGCCAAUACAUAAUAUUUGAAAAAUACAUCUAGAGAACGAUAUUUAGAAAUAUGAAAGGAAAUGUCAGAAG
rnacentral:lncRNA from 1 species